rnacentral:tRNA from 1 species
GUGCAGUGGAGCACACCUGUAAACCCAGCUACUUGGGAGGCUGAGGCAGGAGGAUUGAAGUUCAAGGCCAGCCUAGGCCACUCAGGGAGACCCUGUCUCAAAUAAAAGGGGCUGGGGUUGGGGCUCAGUGGCAUGACUAGCAUGCGUGGAACUGUGGGUUUGAUCCCAGGCAACAUGAAAAUAAACAAUAUUUUUUAAAAAAUAUUUAUUUAUUUUUUAGUUGUAGUUGCACACAAUACCUUUAUUUAUGUGUGGUGCUGAGGAUCGAACCCAGGGCCUUGCACAUGGUAGGUGAGCGCUCUGUCACUGAGCCACACCCCAACCCCAAAUAAAUGAAAUUUUAAAAAUAAAAUUGACACAAGAUUUGAAUCACCUCUGCUCCAGAGAAGGCAGAUUCAUGACAGAUAAUCCCUUGAAACGAUGCUCAAUCUCCUUAGUCAUAAGGGAAAUGCAAAUCAAACCACAGCAAGAAACCACAUCACACCCAUCAGGAUGACUCCGAUAAAAAGCAAGUGAUAAGGGGUGUUGGUGAGAUUAGAAAUCUCUCCCUGCUCACAGGAACGUGAAUGGUCCAGCAUGGAGUUUCCAUGUCAACCAGCAAUUCCACGCCCCUGUAUACACCCCAGAGAUAGGAAAGCGGCCUCCACGUGUGAAAUUUGUGUGUGUGAAUGUUCACAGCAGCAGUAUUCUUUAUAACCAUAAGAGGGAAUAAAAGAGAGUCCAAAUUGAUGAAUGGCUAUGUAAAAUGUGGGCUGUCUGCACCGUGGGAUUUUGAUUCAUGCUACAAUGGAUGAAACAUGCCAAAUGGAAGAACCCAUCACCAAAAGCCAUAUAGGGCAUGACUUCAUUUGUGUGAAACCUCUGGAACAGGCACGUCUGUAGAGACAGAGAUAGAGGAGGAACUAACUUGGACCGAGGGGAGGGAG